rnacentral:rRNA from 1 species
AUGCGGAGGAUGUGGCCCGCUUCCAAGUGCGUCUGCGCGCCGGCCACCCACGUCGGGUCCUUCAAGUGUCGCUUCCACCGCACCAACUCCCAGGGCCAGGGAAGCCGCCCUUCUUCGCCCCCUUCACCGGCCGCGGCCAACGCGGUGCCGCGGCACCCGGCCUCACCGUUCUCGUCCUCCGGCACCGUCACGACCCAGUGA